GAUGAAGAACGUAGCGAAAUGCGAUAAGUAAUGUGAAUUGCAGAAUUCAGUGAAUCAUCGAAUCUUUGAACGCACAUUGCGCCCGCCAGUAUUCUGGCGGGCAUGCCUGUCCGAGCGUCAUUUCAACCCUCGAACCCCUCCGGGGGGUCGGCGUUGGGGAUCGGCCCCUCACCGGGCCGCCCCCGAAAUCCAGUGGCGGUCUCGCCGCAGCCUCUCCUGCGCAGUAGUUUGCACACUCGCACCGGGAGCGCGGCGCGGCCACAGCCGUAAAACACCCCAAACUCUGAAAUGUUGACCUCGGAUAAGGUAGGAAUACCCGCUGAACUUAAGCAUAUCAAUAAGCGGAGGA
rnacentral:misc_RNA from 1 species